rnacentral:rRNA from 1 species
AUUGAACGCUGGCGGCAGGCCUAACACAUGCAAGUCGAACGAGUGGCGGACGGGUGAGUAAUGUCUGGGAAACUGCCCGAUGGAGGGGGAUAACUACUGGAAACGGUAGCUAAUACCGCAUACUAUCGGAUGUACCCAGAUGGGAUUAGCUAGUAGGUGGGGUAACGGCUCACCUAGGCGACGCUCCCUAGCUGGUCUGAGAGGAUGACCAGCAACACUGGAACUGAGACACGGUCCAGACUCCUACGGGAGGCAGCAGUGGGGAAUAUUGCACAAUGGGCGCAAGCCUGAGGCAGCCAUGCCGCGUGUAUGAAGAAGGCCUUCGGGUUGUAAAGUACUUUCAGCGAGGAGGCGUUACUCGCAGAAGAAGCACCGGCUAACUCCGUGCCAGCAGCCGCGGUAAUUC